AGAAAACGACAGCUCAUCAAGGCUGUGGUAAAGCAGCAGACGUUUCUUUGUUUAAUGCCUACAUUAUCUGGUGGACUCUUGUAAUGCCAAACAGUGGAAACAUGAGUCAUCAGAAGAGGAGGAGGAGGUGUGCUUUUCUUUAUUAUUUUGUGAGGAUAACGUAUUUGUAUUGCACUCGUGUGUUUUUUGGUUUUACAGGAAAUAAAACCAGAAGCUUCACUUCUUUGUAACUGUCAAAACGUCUUUAUGUGCAUGUAUGAAGGGCUGCAAAGUAGAGCACUCUUCACACUGCAAAAACACAAAAUCUUACCAAGUAAUUCUGAUCUGGCUUGCAGUGCAAAUAUCUCAGGACAAUUGAAAUAAGACAAGCUGUCUUAACAGUAACUUUUUAGCUACUUAUAGAGGCUUAUUUUAAGUAAAUAAAUCCUUAAUACUGAUGAAGAAGUACUAGUUCUAUUGGCAGAUAAAUUAACUUAUAACCUGAGAAAGAUGUCUUACUAUAAAUGAAAUAAUCUGCCAAGGGAACAUGCACUUUUUCAUCAAUAUUAAAUAAUUAUUUACUGAAAACAAGCCUCCAUAUCUUGCUAAAAAGUUACUCUUUAGUAAGGUUCAAAUGUACUAAGUUAUUUGCAUUAGAAACUGGACCAAAAACACUUUGUAAGAUUUUCUGUUUUUGCAGUGCACCCAUGUUUUCAUGUCUAAUGAUUUUAUCAUGUUAACAGUUUAUCUAUUUUCCGGCUUUAGAUAAAAAAGUGCAUCAUGUUGAUUCUGUUGCACAAACAGAAGGUGAAAAAAGCAGAAACGGAUCAGACUAUCAGUUCACACCAUUCAAACUCUACAGAUCUUCGUCUUUGCUUCACAGCGUAGCAACAUCCGCUCUUACUUAACACAGUUUUUUACUAUCUCACUUUUUAUUUGAAUUUUCCCACCUCUAUAGUCCUGCAACAAUGCUCUCAGUUUUGCUCACCUUAUUUUGUCACUCAUUUUGCUGAGCUGCAAAGAGACUGUUGCAAAACAAGUGAGGUUUAAACAGGAAAAAAUAACUCUGACACUGAAACCAUCAAGGACGGUUUUAGUGUCAAAUUUUAGUGUAUUUGUGUCAAAAGGCCUUUGAGUCAAAGCUGUAUGGUAGGUUACAACUUCAGCACCUGAUUCUCCAUUAGUCAUGAUUUAAGGGAGGUUUUAAGAGAUCUGAAUCAGGGUGGUGAGUUAUUGUUUCUCUGAAGUACAAUCACCUUUUCCCAUAAAAAUAAAAAAAUGAAAUCAUUGGUGCAUAAAUUUCAUGGGAAUUUUCUGCAAGCUAUAACCAUGUUCCUGUUUAGUGAACUAUUAUAUUAAAAUGACUUUGGGGCAGUGAGGGGAUUUUAGAUCAUAGGUCAAAAGUUUUUGCUUUUGGUGAUGAGAUGAAAUGA